UACGUAGGGUGCAAGCGUUGUCCGGAAUCAUUGGGCGUAAAGCGCGCGUAGGUGGCUUCGUAAGUCCGUUGUGAAAGUCAAAGGCUCAACCUUUGAAUGCCGAUGGAUACUACGAAGCUAGAGUACGGAAGAGGCGAGUGGAAUUCCUGGUGUAGCGGUGGAAUGCGCAGAUAUCAGGAGGAACACCGGUGGUGUAGACGGCUUUCUGGACCGUAACUGACGCUGAGACACGAAAGCGUGGGUAGCAAACAGG
rnacentral:rRNA from 1 species